AAACUGCGAUAAGUAGUGUGAAUUGCAUUUAGUGAAUCAUCGAAUCUUUGAACGCAGCCUGCACUCACUGGUAUUCCGGUGAGUACGCCUGUUUCAGUAUCAUUGAAAACACACAAUCAAAACAUUUUCUUUGGUUUGAUUGGCUUUGGGUCUAUCAAAAAGUUUGGCUUGUUUCUUACAAGCCAAGCGGCCUGAAAUAUAUUGUCUGGCUAAUUGCAUCGUUGAUGAUCGCUAUUAGACUUUGGCUUUUUUAAAUGAACUGGAGGUUGAUUAACCAGUUUUAGCUUUAGUCAAAUGGUCAUUGUAAAAAAAAUCUCGAUCUUGGCUAGGUGUUUAUAGCCGAAAAUUUUUUUUUGGCUAUAACCGAAACCAAUAUAAUCACAUUUAGUUAUCGAUCUGAAAUCAGGUGGGACUACCCGCUGAACUUAAGC
rnacentral:misc_RNA from 1 species